rnacentral:rRNA from 1 species
GACGAACGCUGGCGGCGUGCCUGACACAUGCAAGUCAACUUGACUGAAGGAGCAAUCUGACAGUAGAGUGGCGCAAGGGUGCGUAACGCGUAAGUAACUUGCCCCAAGGUAAGGAAUAACGUCGAGAAAUCGGCGCUAAUACCUCAUAAUGCAGCGGAUCCGCAUGGAUAUGUUGUUAAAGGUUUACCGCCUUGGGAUAGGCUUGCGUCUGAUUAGCUAGUUGGUGUGGUAACGGCACACCAAGGCUACGAUCAGUAACUGGUCUGAGAGGAUGAUCAGUCACACUGGAACUGAGACACGGUCCAGACUCCUACGGGAGGCAGCAGUGAGGAAUAUUGGGCAAUGCUCGAAAGAGUGACCCAGCAACGCCGCGUGGAGGAUGAAGGUAUUCUAUAUCGUAAACUCCUGUGAGAGCAGACGAAAGACAGAUUAUUAAUCUGGAUGACUGUAUGCUCAGAGGAAGCCCCGGCUAACUACG